GAUGAACGCUAGCGGCAGGCUUAAUACAUGCAAGUCGUGGGGCAGCAUGACUGUAGCAAUACAGUUGAUGGCGACCGGCAAACGGGUGCGGAACACGUACACAACCUUCCUAUAAGUGGGGAAUAGCCCAGAGAAAUUUGGAUUAAUACCCCGUAACAUAAUGAUGUGGCAUCACAUUAUUAUUAUAGCUACGGCGCUUAGUGAUGGGUGUGCGGCUGAUUAGAUAGUUGGCGGGGUAACGGCCCACCAAGUCUACGAUCAGUAGCUGAUGUGAGAGCAUGAUCAGCCACACGGGCACUGGGACACGGGCCCGACUCCUACGGGAGGCAGCAGUAAGGAAUAUUGGUCAAUGGACGCAAGUCUGAACCAGCCAUGCCGCGUGAAGGAUUAAGGUCCUCUGGAUUGUAAACUUCUUUUAUCUGGGACGAAAAAAGGCGAUUCUUCGUCACUUGACGGUACCAGAUGAAUAAGCACCGGCUAACUCCGUGCCAGCCGCCGCGGUAAGAC
rnacentral:rRNA from 1 species